UUUCUCCCAUGCGUGGCCCCCAAAGCCGAGCCCAGCUCCUCGGGUGUUUGCAUCCAAGGUGCUCGCAGCGACCCGGCCUCCUCCGGUCCCCACGGCAUACCCGGGGGCCGCGCUGGGCAGGGCGGUCCGCAGCUCGGGGCGGGGGGCACGUUCUGUUCCCCGCUUUCUGGCGGGGACCGCAGGCUGCAGCCCCGGCGGCUCCUGCUCGCGCCUGGCUGGCGGAGAUGAGAGCCGGCUGCAGGGCUGGGACCGAGGCAGCAAUACACAGAACAAACAGAAUUUUUUUUUGCAACUAGAGGGGGAAGCACAGAGCUAAAAAUAAAACGAAAAGAUCAGUAUCUGUCAGUCUGACAGCUGAUUGGCUGCUCGGAGAUGCAUAUAAUUACCAGCAACUGGCGCUGGGUAGGCAAAGCCGGGAGAAACUGCUGAGACGAGAGUCUUGCUUGGUCGCCAGGCUGGAGGGCAGUGGCUCAACCUCGACUUACUGCAGCCUCCACCUCCUGGAUUCAAGCAAUUCUCCUGAUUCAGCCUCCCAAGUAGCUGAGACUACAGGUAAGGAGGUUCGUGGCUCGCCACGCCAUGCAGACGUAAAGAGGGAUAUCCACCCAGAAGGCCAUACCGAUCACACCGAGGAUCCUCCUACUCCCUGUUCUGCCGCUAUUUAUUGAGCACAUACUACUUGCCAGGCAAGGAGCCAAGUGCUGUACAAGACUGCCCUAUUUCAAUCCAACAGCAUACCUAGAGGGGAGGCGUAUUGAGCUUUCUUUUACGGGAAACAGGGAGGUUGAUGCAUUUGCCCAAGAUCACACAGCUCCCAAGAUCACACAGCUCCCAAGGAGUGGAGCCUGACUGAAUCAGGCCGCCUGCCUCCAGAGCAUGGGUGCUCGGCCAUCCUUCUCUGCACUUGGCUUAGAGACCCGGCCCGGUGAUCUUGGGUUAGUCCCCUAAGCCCCAGAGUGGCAAAAGGAAGAGGAAGUAUCUUCAGGACCCAGUGAAGGGGGCUCAGAGAGGGGCCAACUCUCACUCCAGGGCACACAGCCAGCCGAGCCAGGACCCACAACACUCACUCCCCGGCCCCUGGCUCCCCGUAGGUGGCUUCUCCGUGGCCAGGAAGGACCCCCACGGCCGCUCCUGCAGGCAGAUGGACAGACGAUGGCCCCCUCCCACGGCCUGCGGGCUGUGUGGCAUCGCCACCUCCUCCCGAGCAGGCUGCCUUGAAGAAACCAGAAGAUUGAUUUCCUGGCAGGCUCUGCGCCGAGGAGCCCGUCCAAAUGGUUUGCAUGUCUGCAUUUUUUACUGCUCCGUUUAAUAUGUAUGCAAAUGCCGGCCGGCUGCGCCCGCCGCGCGGCUGCACAGUCACACGCGGCGCCCCAUUAAAGCGGCCGUCCCGGGCGCGCGCCUCAUUCGAGGCGACGGGCUCCGGGCCCUGAUAGAUGGGGUGCGGGGACGGAGACAAAUGACGGCCUUUGGCUUCUAACUUCCUCGGCACGGUGUCAUUUGAGUUUCACAUUAGCCCAUGAGAAGCUGGGAAUACCUGACUUUCUGGGAAGGCAGCCCAUCAAGCCCCAGCCUCACGUUUCGAGCCCUCACUCAACAUGCCUUCGCUCUGGUUUGAACGCCUGUGACCAGUGUGCACCUGCAGAUCAGGGUGAGUAUGGGGCUGUGUACACACGAGUUGGUGUGCACACGUGUGUGUCAGUGCGCCUGUGUGAAUGCUGUCCUUGGCAGGCAGGCAACUGAGUGUGAAUCUCCCUGAGGAUUUCCACUUUACUGUGGUUCAGGCUGGGCCUUCCCUGCUCUCCCCCGGCCCCCCAGCCAGGGAAAGCUGCCUGUGGAAUGAGGGGACAGGAUAUGGCACUGUGAGGCUCCCACAUGCCAGAGGCACCCCUGAGCUUUGCAUAGAUGGGUAGGACUUGGACUGUUGGGGCUGGAGUGGAGCCUCAGAAUUCUGGGCCCGAAGUGAGGGUCGAGGACUGCUCUCCAGAGAGCCCUCCGCGCGUGUGUGUGUGUGUGUGUGUGUGUGUGUGUGUGAUCCGUGCAUGCUGAGUCACUUGGGGAAGUUGUUCUUCUCAUGUAAAUGUCUUCAGCUUCCAGGGAGAUCCUUCUGCUGUCUGGACUUGAACUUCUCUGGGGCAGAACCUGGGCUCUGGGGGCUGCUAUUUGGGAAAUCACGCCCCCUGCUGCCCCCGGGCCAGUGCCCCGAGGAUACUGGAGGGGUCCUUGAGCCCAGUGGGGGUAGGGUGUGUGUGUAUGUGUGAGAGUGUGUGUGUGUCUGUGAGCAGGGGUGUGUGUGUGUGAGUGAGGGUGUGUAUGUAAGUUUAUGUGUGCAUGUGAGAGUGUGUGUGUGGGAGGGUGAGUGCAAGCAGGGAUGUAUGUAGAUGUAUGUGAGUGAGAAUGUGGACAUGUGCAUUGGUGUGUGUGAGUUGUGCAUGUGUGAGGUGUUAUUGGGGGUGAGGGUGUGUGCAUGUGAGUUGGUCUGUGUGUGAGUUGUGUAACGAGGGAGGGUGUGUGCAUGUGAAUUUGCAUGAGGGUGUGUGUGACUUGGUGUGUGAGUUGUAUAUGUGUGAGGUCGUGUUGGGAGUGAGGGUGUGUGCAUGUGAGUUGGUAUGUGUGAGGUUGUGUUAGAUGGGAUGAGGGUGUGUACGUGGGUCUGUGUGUGAGUUGUGUAUGAGGGAGGGUGUGUGCAUGGAAGGGAGUUGGUGUGCAUGGGAGUUGAUGUGUGUGAGGGUGUAUGUGAGAGGGUGUCUGAGGGUGUGUGUGAUAGUGUGUGGUGUGAGUUGAUGUGAGUCGUAUAUAUGUGUGUGUGAGUUGGUGUGCUUGUGAGUUGUGUGUGAGUUGGCAUGUGAGUUGUUUGUGUGCAUGUGAGUUGUAUGUGUGAAUUGGUGUGUGAGUUCUGUGUGUGUUUGUGUGCAUGUGAGUUGUGUGUGUGAGUUGGCGUGUGAGUUGUGUGUGUGUUUGUGUGCAUGUGAGUUGUGUGUGUGUGUAUGUGAGUUGUGUAUGUGAGUUGGUGUGUGAGUUGCUGUGCGUGUGAAUUAGUGUGUGAGUUGCUGUGUGUUAGUGUGAGUUGUGUGAGUUGAUGUGUGUUGUAUGAGUGGCUUGUGUAUGAGUUGGUAUGUGUGUGAGUUGAUGUGCAUGUGAGUUGCUGUGUGUCAGUGUGUGAGCUGGCAUGUGAGUUGGUGUGUAUGUGAGUUGGUGUAUGAGUUGUAUAUGUGUGAGUUGGUGUGUGUGUGUGAGUCGGUGUGAGUUGGCAUGUAUGAGUUGGUGUGUGAAUUGUGUAUGUGUGAGUUGCUGUGUAUGAGUUGGUACGCAUGUGAGUUGUGUAUGUGUGAGUUGGUGUGUGUGAGUCAGAGUUGGCAUGUAUGAGUUGGUGUGUGAGUUGUAUAUAUGUGAGUUGCUGUGUCUGUGAGUUGUGUACGUGUGAGUCGGUGUGUGAGUUGUGUAUGUGUGAAUUGGUGUGCACAGGCGUUAGCAUGCAUGAGAUUUGUGUGUGUGAGGGAGGGUGUGUUUGUGGGCAGGUGUGGAUGUGCCUGGGAGUGCCAGGCAGGUUGGGAGGGGUGCAUGAACUGAAACUCUGUGGCAGGCAUUUCUGAGCUCCCCUGGCAGAUCUGGCGUGGGAGGACAUUUGGACCCGAACUCAGGGCCCUUCUGGCUGCCCUGGCCCAGGCCUCUGUGUGUUCCUGCUCUCCUCUCUCUCUAGUCUCUGCAGUCUCCUGGGCUCUCCAGUCCCACAGGGGCCUCUCCCUUGGAAACCCGUGGGGAAUCUCACCACCUCUGUCUGCCCACCCAAGCCUCCUGGGGCACAGCAGACCGGAGGGCCCCUCAGGCCAGCACCUCCCGGAGUCCCCGUCCCCACAGUGGCCCUGGGGUCCCCUCUGGCCUCACACCCACUCCUCUUCCUCUCUCUCAAGAUUCGCCCAGUGCUGGGCCCCAGAAGCCAGUCUUCCUGGAGGUCCUCACUGCUCCCUCCCUUCCUGCAGCCUUCCCAGGCCCGCCUCCCGCCUCCCGCCUCCCGCCUCCCACCGUUUCCUGACCCAGGCUCCCAGGCCUCUCCCCCUCUUCCCUCUCACCAGGGUAGUUCUGUGGCCACAUGGUUGUGUGCUUUGUUUGGCUGCUGUCAUCUCCCCCAGGAAUGUGGUUCUCCCCCGUGAGAACCCAAAUAGCAGGUACUCAUCUCAGAACCACCCCCCUCCCCGCCAGGCCCAGGGGAGGUUUCCUGGUCCUCCCUGUGGCCGUGACUCCUUCACCCCAGGGCUCCCCCUUGGUGUCCAUGAGGCCCAGACGGUGACCCUAAGUCUCCCCUUGACUCACCUAUGUUUGGGGACAGCCCCUCCUUCCUGCAGGCCUGAGCUGGCCCCAAGCACAGCAACGACAGUGGUGCUGAUGGGAGAUGAUUGCACGGAGCCUGCUCCCCAGGACCUUCUGGAAUGGGAGAGUGCACUACCCCUCAGAAUCCCCCCUCCCCAUGGGGUCCUCUGGAGCAUCCCCUAGAGCCAGCCCCUACCCACAGGCCCUGAGCCCAGAGAAUGCGCUGGGUGAGCCUGGGGACAGUGCAGAGCCUGAGGUCUCCUCCCCAGAAGUAAGUACCGGGUCUGUGUAAAUUGCUUGGUUAGGAGGGCAGGACCUGGCGUCUUCACUAGGCUUCCCCAAAAUUGGGCUGGGCACAUAAUAGGUGCUUGCUAAAUAAAUGUUGAAAUAGACAAGCAAGUAGGCAGGGCGCGGUGGCUCACACCUGUAAUCCCAGCACUCUGGGAGGCUAAGGUGAGUGGAUCACCUGAGGUCAAGAGUUUGAGACCAGACCAAUAUGGUGAAACCCCGUCUCUACUAAAAACACAAAAAUUAGCUUGGCGUGGUGGUGGGUGCCUGUAAUCCCAGCUACUCAGGAGGCUGAGGCAGGAGAAUUGCUUGAACCUGGGAGGUGGAGGUUGCAGUGAGCCAAGAUCGUGCCACUGCACUCCAGCCUGGGUGACAGAACGAGACUUUAUCUCAAAAAAGUAAAAAUAAAAAAUAAGUAAAUACAUACAUAAGUACAAAUUUUAAAAGAUAAGCAAGGGGAUGGAAGGGGGGAUGCAGGCACAGGUUUGGGCCAUGAAGUUUCGUGAAGCCUCCUGGCCCAUGGCCCUCCUGGGGUCCACACCCGAGCUCCCGAUGGCGGUGGUGCUGAGUGUAGCCUGGCUGGGUCAGGCUCUGGCGCUUAGCAGGGUUCACUGUGGCUCUCUCCGACCUUGUUGUGGGGGCUGAAACAGAUCUGCCUCCCUCUCCUUCCUCCGUCUCUCAGGGUGGGUGUUUAUUCCCAAGCAGGGGGUCACCCAGAGAGCAGCCCGAAAGCUCCCUUGAGUCCUGAGGAAGGGGCAGCCAGGGGCGGACUGGGAGGAGGUGCAGCAGGCGUUGGGAGCAGCUCCUCCAAGUGCAGUGACCAUAUUUUUCUGAGCUGAACAGUGAGGACACGGGAUGUUGCCGAGGGCUUUCUCAGGUUUGUUUGUUACUGAAGGGAAAAAAAUCUUCCCAAGGUACGAAAGUUAAAGCUUACUUAGUGAUGUGAGGAAUGGCGUGUUUGUGGAAAGAACCUGAGUUUCCAAAAUCAGGGUUUAUCUGGAAAGGACAUAAUUCCAUGUGGCUAAUAUUUGGGGGCUACCUGGACCAACCUUGUCCUUAGUGGGAAGCAAAGUGGGCACGAUCCUGGCCUCAUAGAGGGACGUAGGGAGGCUGACAGUCUUCUAAUAAUUUCACAGUUUGGAGGCCUUUUAGGAGGUAACUGAUGAAGGGGUGGAGCUGGAUGGGUGGGGAAGCACAUUCCAGGCAGGGAACAGCAUAUGCAAAGGGCCUGUGGCUUGAGGGAGAGCUUUGAGUUUGAAGGACAGGUGGGCAGCCCCAGAGAGUGGAAUGUGACGAGUGAGAGGGAGAGGAGGUUGGAGAUGUGGGCAGGGGUCAGUCUGGGCGGCACCUAGCAGCCGUGAGAGUGUGAUGGGCUGUCUCUGGCUGGCAGUGGGAGCCAUGGAUGGUUGGACACAGGCGUGACCUGGUCAUCCUAGUGGAGAUUGAUGGUGACGAGGAGGAUGAUGGUAUUGGUAAUCACAGGAGGCACUGAGUUCAUACCGCGUGCCAAGCACCAUUUCACAAAUGGAAGUGAGGGCUCGGAGGGGAAGUGACUUAUCCAGGGUCACACCACUGGUAAAUGGAAGAAAUGGGAGUCAGACCACAUCCAUCUGGCCACACGGUCUGCAAGCUCGUCCUGCACGUCCUAUCCACAGAGCUGCCCCUUGUCCGGAUGCGGAAGCCGAGGGACACGCAGAUGACCACGUCUCUUGUCUCCCUGUGGUGCUGACUCCUGUCCGCUCUGAGUUCCAGGCUGGGCAGGGACUCCAGGUCACAGGGUUGGCCGGAGCUGGAAAAGCCCAGCUCAGUUCCUGCUGAGGCCCAGCAGGGGAAGUGGAGGUUGCAACAUCCGCGGAGGUUGAGGUUCCGGAGAAGCUGGGCCCCCAGCCUGUUCACUGGGGCACAGGUCAUGCUGCAGCCACAGCCCCACUAGCUGGUUUGGGGGUCAGGGACUCUGAGUUGUGCCCACAACUUCCCCCGGGAUGGGGGCAGCACUGGGACCCUCUUUCCUCCCGUGGAAGCAGAGUCAGGUGAAUGCACUGCUCUAGACCCACUAGCAGCAUUGAAAAAGCCCAUAUCAGGACAGGUGUGGUGGCUCAUGCUUGUAAUGCCAACACUUUGGGAGGCCAAGGCAGGUGGAUCGCUUGAGGUCAGGAGUUCUAGACCAGCCUGGUCAACAUGGUGAAACCCCCGUCUCUACCCAAAAUUUAAAAACUAGCUAGAUGUGGUGGUACAUGGGUAGUCCCAGCUACUUGGAAGGCUGAGGCAGGAGAAUUGCUUGAAUCUGGGAGGCAAAGGUUGCAGUGAGCCGAGAUUGCACCACCACCCUCCAGACUGGGGGACUGAGUGAGGCUCCAUCUCAAAAAAAAAAAAGCAAGAAAAUAAAAGAAAAAAGAAAAAGCCCUUAUCCCCUCACUAAUCGUUAGCAGAUGAAAACCCAGAUGAGAUGUCCUCUCCCACCCACAAGCGUGGCUACUAUCAGGAGGCAGAAGGAGCAAGUGCUGGAGGGGAUGAGGUGGAGGAACUGCAGCACUUGGGCAGGGCCGAUGGGGACGAAAAUGGUGCAGCCGCUGUGGAAAACAGCAUGGCAGUGCCUCAAAAACAUUAAAAAUAGAAUUACCAUAUGAUCUAGCAUUUCCACUUCUGGGUAUGUACCCAAAAGAAUGGAAAGCAAGGUCUCGAAGAGAUACUCAUGCUCCUGUCUUCCCAGCAACUUUACUCACAAUAGAGAAAAGGCGGAAGCAGCUCAGGUGUCCUCGGGCGCAGGAAUAAACAAUGCGAUGCAUACGUACGAUGGAAUAUUAUGUGGCCAUAAGAAGGAAACUGACACACGCUACAACAUGGAUGAACCUUGAAGACAGCAGGCUGAGUAAAACAGCCUGUACGAAAGGGCAGAUACAGUAGGAUCCCACUUAUGUGAGGUUCUAAAGGAGUUGCAUUCGUGAGACAGACAGUGGGAUGGUGGUUGCCGGGGAAAGGAGGAGUUAGUAUUUCAUGGGUACAGAGUUUAAGUUUUACAAGAUGAAAAGAGUUCUGUGGGUGGAUGGUGGUGAUGGUUGUACAAUACCAUGAAUGUACUUAACACUGCUGAACUGUGCACUUGAAAAUGGUUACAAUGAUACAUUUCAUGUGUAUUUAAAAGAAAUUUAUUACCAGUUCUCUUAUGUUAUUGAUAGUUGGCUUUCUUUGAAGUUUUUUUUUCUUUUUUCUAUUUUGAGACAGGGUCUCACUGUCACUCAGGCUGAAGUGUAGUGGAAUGAUUACGGCUCACUGCGUCCUUGAACUCCUAGGCUGAAGCGAUCGUCCCGCCUCAGCCUCCAGAGCAGCUACCACACCCAGCUCAUUCUUUACUUUUUUUGUAGACAUGGGGUCUCACUAUGUUGCUCAGGUUGGUCUAGGACUCCUGGCCUCAAGUCAUCAUCCUGUCUGGGCCUCCAAAGUGCUGGGAUUACAGGCGUGAGACAAAUCCCAGCCUUAAGUUAGCUGCUUUUGUAAGAAAUAAAAAUACCAGAUAGUAAUCGGCAUUACAGCAGUCAAGAAUUCAGAUGCUCAUGUUUCUGGGCAAGUGACCUUGCCUCUCUGAGCCUCAGUUUCCUCACGGGGAAAUGGGGAUCGUGAUGGCACCUCCCUCCUGGAGCCACUGUGAGGGCUCCACCAUGCCUCUGAGGUGCUCUGCCCAGCGGCCAAUGUGCAGUGAGCAACCAGCCCCCAGCCACCCCUAGGACUGGCAGGUCUUCCUUGAGCCUUUGGGUUUUGGGAGCAUAAGCACCGUAGGCCUUAGAGGAGAAAACAUCUCUUGCCCCACCCUCCACAUGAGGAAACAGAGGCCCAGAAGAGUCAAAGGACUUGCCAGGAUCCCUCAGCAUCUCCUGAACCAGAGCGUGGUUUUCCAGGAGUUUCCUCAGCACCUGGGCCAGGCUUCACCUGUGCCUGGGUGUGAGCUGUACUGGUCAGCAAGGCUCCCUCUGCUGCCAUAACAAAUGAACCCCACAUCUGAGCACCUUAACAAGGUCAAAGUUUGUUUCACAUUCAACAAAGUCUGCUGUGUAUCCAGGCAAUUCUUUUUUUUUUUUUGGAAGACAAAGUCUCUGUCUAAUCUCAGCUCACUGCAGCCUCCGCCUCCCAGAUUCAAGCAAUUCUCUUGCCUCAGCCUCCUAAGUAGCUGGGACUAUAGGCGCGUGCCGUCAUGCCCAGCUGAUGGCUGUAUUUUUAGUAGAGAUGGGGUUUCACCAUGUUGGCCAGGCUGCUCUCGAACUGCUGACUUCAAGUAAUCUGCCCAUCUCAGCCUCCCAAAGUGCUGGGAUUACAGUAUGAACCAUCGCGCCGGCCUCCAGGUGAUUCUUUGGGGUAACUGCCCUUCCUGUGAAGGCUCAAAAAUCCAGGCUGCCUUCAGCUCGUGACACCCCCAUCUCCAGAUCACUGAGGCAGGGUAAAGAGUGUCACAUCACGUCCUCCCAUGGCUCACUAGCCAGGGGGCCUCGUGCAGCCGCAAGGGUGGCAGGUCCUCAGAAAGAGGAAAACUGGCUACAGGUGAGCACCAGGUUUCUCCUCACAGUCAGUGUGUGAAUCCAGGUGCCCCUUUCAAAAUACAAACGAGAGCUUCCUGUUCUUCUGUCCUUGAAGAAUCCCAGAUGGGCCCUAGUAGAAAAGUAUUAUUGAUUGAUUUAUUUAUUUUUGAGACAGAGUCUUGCUCUGUCCCCCAGGCUGGAGUGCAGUGGCACAACGUCAGCUCACUGCAACCUCCACUUCCCAGGUUCAGGCGAUUCUCCUGCCUCAACCUCCCAAGUAGCUGGGAUUACAGACGUGUGCCACCACACCCAGCCAAUUUUUUUUUCAGUAGAGACCAGAGUUUCAUCAUGUUGGCCGGGCUGCUCUCAAACUCCUGACCUCAAGUGAUCCACCUGCCUUGGCUUCCCAAAGUGCAGGGAUUACAGGUGUGAGCAACCGCGGCUGGCCUCAGGCAGGUAUUUUUAACAGCCAAAUACUCUUCCACUGUGCACUCUUCCUGUUCAUCAUCAGUCCCCUGGGAUGGGUGUUUAAGGCAUUUCCAAAGUUCUGCUAUUAAAAACACGGGUGCAGUGAGCUUCUUUC